rnacentral:rRNA from 1 species
AUUGAACGCUGGCGGCAGGCCUAACACAUGCAAGUCGAGCGGAUGAAGGGAGCUUGCUCCUGGAUUCAGCGGCGGACGGGUGAGUAAUGCCUAGGAAUCUGCCUGGUAGUGGGGGAUAACGUCCGGAAACGGGCGCUAAUACCGCAUACGUCCUGAUGGAGAAAGUGGGGGAUCUUCGGACCUCACGCUAUCAGAUGAGCCUAGGUGGGAUUAGCUAGUUGGUGGGGUAAAGGCCUACCAAGGCGACGAUCCGUAACUGGUCUGAGAGGAUGAUCAGUCACACUGGAACUGAGACACGGUCCAGACUCCUACGGGAGGCAGCAGUGGGGAAUAUUGGACAAUGGGCGAAAGCCUGAUCCAGCCAUGCCGCGUGUGUGAAGAAGGUCUUCGGAUUGUAAAGCACUUUAAGUUGGGAGGAAGGGCAGUAAGUUAAUACCUUGCUGUUUUGACGGUACCAACAGAAUAAGCACCGGCUAACUUCGUG